ensembl:lncRNA
CACGCAGCACUGAGGAGGAACGGAGAAUGAAUGACCUCCUCAAACAAAGUGGUUGUGAGCAUGAGGAUCUGCGGCAAACUGUGCAGGACUGCUUCAUCUACAAAAAUCCGGGUAGCAGCCGAUCACAUGACCUGCUCCAGAUGAUGUCAUUUCCUGUUCAAAAAAAGACUGACAAGACUCCAAGGUGGAAGCUGAAUUAGUGAGGAUGACUCCUGCUCCUGUCAUCUCUAAGCUCCUCACACAUCUUUACCUGCACAUGAGGAAAAUCACUCCUGUAGAAUGCAGGUAUGUUUGUCAUUAUUAUAAAAAGAUGUUGCCUGGUGACCUGUCAGAAACCCAUUAUACAGAGUCAGCCAAAAUAAUGUUUACACACAUCAGGAAAAGAAAAACUUGCAUAAAUAUUUCAAUACCAAA